rnacentral:rRNA from 1 species
GUCGAACGCUUCUUUUUCCACCGGAGCUUGCUCCACCGGAAAAAGAGGAGUGGCGAACGGGUGAGUAACACGUGGGUAACCUGCCCAUCAGAAGGGGAUAACACUUGGAAACAGGUGCUAAUACCGUAUAACAAUCAAAACCGCAUGGUUUUGAUUUGAAAGGCGCUUUCGGGUGUCGCUGAUGGAUGGACCCGCGGUGCAUUAGCUAGUUGGUGAGGUAACGGCUCACCAAGGCCACGAUGCAUAGCCGACCUGAGAGGGUGAUCGGCCACAUUGGGACUGAGACACGGCCCAAACUCCUACGGGAGGCAGCAGUAGGGAAUCUUCGGCAAUGGACGAAAGUCUGACCGAGCAACGCCGCGUGAGUGAAGAAGGUUUUCGGAUCGUAAAACUCUGUUGUUAGAGAAGAACAAGGAUGAGAGUAACUGUUCAUCCCUUGACGGUAUCUAACCAGAAAGCCACGGCUAACUACGUGCCAGCAGCCGCGGUAAUACGUAGGUGGCAAGCGUUGUCCGGAUUUAUUGGGCGUAAAGCGAGCGCAGGCGGUUUCUUAAGUCUGAUGUGAAAGCCCCCGGCUCAACCGGGGAGGGUCAUUGGAAACUGGGAGACUUGAGUGCAGAAGAGGAGAGUGGAAUUCCAUGUGUAGCGGUGAAAUGCGUAGAUAUAUGGAGGAACACCAGUGGCGAAGGCGGCUCUCUGGUCUGUAACUGACGCUGAGGCUCGAAAGCGUGGGGAGCAAACAGGAUUAGAUACCCUGGUAGUCCACGCCGUAAACGAUGAGUGCUAAGUGUUGGAGGGUUUCCGCCCUUCAGUGCUGCAGCUAACGCAUUAAGCACUCCGCCUGGGGAGUACGACCGCAAGGUUGAAACUCAAAGGAAUUGACGGGGGCCCGCACAAGCG